rnacentral:rRNA from 1 species
GACGAACGCUGGCGGCGUGCUUAACACAUGCAAGUCGAACGGAAAGGCCCCUUUGGGGGUACUCGAGUGGCGAACGGGUGAGUAACACGUGAGUAACCUGCCCUUGACUUCGGGAUAACUUCAGGAAACUGGGGCUAAUACCGGAUAGGAAUCCUUGCUGCAUGGUGGGGGUUGGAAAGCUUCGGCGGUUUUGGAUGGACUCGCGGCUUAUCAGCUUGUUGGUGGGGUAGUGGCUUACCAAGGCUUUGACGGGUAGCCGGCCUGAGAGGGCGACCGGCCACAUUGGGACUGAGAUACGGCCCAGACUCCUACGGGAGGCAGCAGUGGGGAAUAUUGCACAAGGGGCGGAAGCCUGAUGCAGCAACGCCGCGUGCGGGAUUACGGCCUUCGGGUUGGAAACCGCUUUCAGCAGGGGCGAAGCUUGUGGUGACGGUACCUGCAGAAGAAGCACCGGCUAACUACGUG